rnacentral:rRNA from 1 species
GCUACACAGGAAAUUCCACACCCCUCUCUUGUACUCUAGUCCGCCAGUUUGGGAUGCAAUUCCUAGGUGAAGCCCAGGGCUUUCACAUUCCACUUAACAAACCACCUACGCGCGCUUUACGCCCAGUAAUUCCGAUUAACGCUUGCACCCUCCGUAUUACCGCGGAUGCUGGCACGGAGUUAGCCGGUGCUUCUUCUGCGAGUAACGUCACAGAGCACGUUUAUUAAACAUACUCCUUUCCUCCUCGCUGAAAGUGCUUUACAACCCGAAGGCCUUCUUCACACACGCGGCAUGGCUGCAUCAGGGUUUCCCCCAUUGUGCAAUAUUCCCCACUGCUGCCUCCCGUAGGAGUCUGGACCGUGUCUCAGUUCCAGUGUGGCUGAUCAUCCUCUCAGACCAGCUAGAGAUCGUCGCCUUGGUGAGCCAUUACCUCACCAACUAGCUAAUCUCACGCAGGCUCAUCAAAUAGCGAAAGGUCUGUAAACAGAUCCCCUCCUUUCCCCCUCAGGGAUUAUGCGGUAUUAGCAGUCGUUUCCAACUGUUGUCCCCCACUACUCGGUAGAUUCCUACGCGUUACUCACCCGUCCGCCACUCGUCAGCAACUAGCAAGCUAGUUCUGUUACCGUUCGACUUGCAUGUGUUAAGCCUGCCGCCAGCGUUCAAUCUGAGCCAGGAUCAAACUCU